GGCCCUUGACCAUCCCCACGCUGCUGGGGACCCCCACGGAGGAGCAGUGGCCGGCCAUGGCCAAGCUGCCGGACUACAAGCCCUACCCCAUGUACCCGGCCACCACCUCCCUGGUCAACGUGGUGCCCAAGCUGAACGCGACCGGCCGGGACCUGCUGCAGAACCUGCUCAAGUGCAACCCGGUGCAGCGGAUCUCGGCAGAGGAGGCCCUGCAGCACCCCUACUUCACUGACUUCUGCCCGCCCUAGGGCCCCCCAACCCGCCCUGGCUCCCUCCCCCUUCCAGGGAGGGUGGCCCCCAGCCCCCCUCGGCCGGGUGCCAACCCAUGCCAGCCCCCCCAAACUGCAGCGUCCCCCCCCGGUAUUUAUUAGGUUCUGCCCCAGCUGCAGGGGGCUGGCAUGGUGCCCCCAAACCCCCUGGCCCUGGAGGAGACUGAGGGCACUCAGACCCCCCCCGGUGGCACAGGACCCCCCUGGGGGCAGGGGACCCCUCCAGGGCAUGAGAGCCCCCCGAGGACAUGGGGCCAUGAUGCUGGUGGAGGGACAGGACCCUCUGGGACCAGGCAUGGGGACCCCGCGGGUGGUGGGACCCCCACCCCUCUUGUCCCUGCUUCCCCUCAGCCCCUUCCCUGCCUGGGGGGGGUUCUGGAUACAGCCCCCCUGGGGGGGGGCGGGGGAGGACCCCAUUUCUUUUCUAGGGCACUGCUGUAUGUGGAUGAUGUGCGAUUGGAACCCCAUAAAGAGCUUUCCCCCCCCCC